ACGAACGUUGGCGGCGUGGAUUAGGCAUGCAAGUCGAACGAAUGUCAGUUUUGUAGCAAUACAGAGCUGGCGGAAGUGGCGAAAGGGGCAGUAAUGCGUGGGUAACCUACCUUGGGGAUGGGCAUAGCCGUUCUAACGAACGGGUAAUUCCCAGCGAUUCGACGGGAAGGCAUCUUUCUGUCGGGAAAUGAGUUUCGCCUCGAGAGGGGCCCACGUGCUAUUAGCUAGUUGGUAGGGUAACGGCCUACCAAGGCUAAGAUGGCUAGCGGGUGUGAGAGCACGACCCGCGCCACUGGCACUGAGACACUGGCCAGACACCUACGGGAGGCAGCAGUGGGGAAUCUUGCGCAAUGGGCGAAAGCCUGACGCAGCGACGCCGCGUGAGGGAUGACGGCCUUCGGGUUGUAAACCGUCUUUCAGCUCCGACGAAGCG
rnacentral:rRNA from 1 species